GACGAACGCUGGCGGCGUGCUUAACACAUGCAAGUCGAACGGUAAGGCCCUUCGGGGUACACGAGUGGCGAACGGGUGAGUAACACGUGGGUGAUCUGCCCUGCACUUCGGGAUAAGCCUGGGAAACUGGGUCUAAUACCGGAUAGGACUCCGGACUGCAUGGUCUGGGGUGGAAAGCUUUUGCGGUGUGGGAUGGGCCCGCGGCCUAUCAGCUUGUUGGUGGGGUGAUGGCCUACCAAGGCGACGACGGGUAGCCGGCCUGAGAGGGUGACCGGCCACACUGGGACUGAGAAACGGCCCAGACUCCUACGGGAGGCAGCGGUGGGGAAUAUUGCACAAGGGGCGCAAGCCUGAUGCAGCGACGCCGCGUGAGGGAUGACGGCCUUCGGGUUGUAAACCUCUUUCAGCAUCGACGAAGCGAAAGUGACGGUAGGUGCAGAAGAAGGACCGGCCAACUACGUGCCAGCCGCCGCAGUAA
rnacentral:rRNA from 1 species